GUCUUAAAGAAAAUUUAAUUUUAAGUCUAAUCUGCCCAAUGAUUAUUAUUUAAUGGCUGCAGUAUCCAUAACUGUACAAAGGUAGCAUAAUAACUUGUUUUUUAAUUAAAAACUAGAAUGAAAGAUUAAAUGAAAUAUAAACUGUUUCAAUUAAAAAUAAAUUUAAUUUAUUAUUUAAGUAAAAAAACUUAAAUAAUUUUUAAAGACGACAAGACCCUAUAGAAUUUUAUUUAUUAUUUUAAUUAAAUUUUUAUACUUAUAUUCAAAUAAUAAAUUUAAUUGGGGUAAUUAAAAAAUUAAAAAAAUUUUUUUUUAAAAAUACAUUCAUAUAUGAAUUUUUUAUCUUAAUAUUUAAAUUAAAAAAAUUAAUUACCUUAGGGAUAACAGCAUAAUUUUUUUUAAAAGAUCAUAUUUAUAAAAAAGAUUAU
rnacentral:rRNA from 1 species